GAGCCAAUGAUGAUUGAAAAAGACUGCCCACAUUGUUUGAUUCACCACUGAUAUGAAUUCUAUAAAGAGCUUUGUAAGA
rnacentral:snoRNA from 1 species